GCACAAUAACCACUACUGCUCCAGAGUAAGUAGUCAAACCGUUUAAGAACAGUUUGACAACUUACCUGGGGUCUGCUGGGAUAUGAGGCUGUAGUAGGGAAUAGGAGCAGUGGUGCAAUGUGUGUGAAAGGUUCAGUGUGUGUGUGGGGGUGUAGUGUGUGAAUGUGUAGGGUGUGUGGGCGGUGUAUGUGUGUGGCAAUGUUAGUAUGGGGGGCUGUGUAUGGGGGUCUGUGUGUAUAUGGGUGGGCAGUGUAUGUGUGUGUGUGUGUGUGUGAGGCAAUGUGUGUAAAUGUGUAUGGUGUGUAUGGGGGCAG